rnacentral:lncRNA from 1 species
AAAAUGAAACAGAAAGGAAGGAAAAGAAAGAAAAGGAAAACUGAAAGAAAACACAAAACAUUUUCCUUCUUCUCGUGAUUCUUCUUCUUUUUCUUCUCCCCUGUUAGCGUAAAACCAAAUCCACCCAAACUCAAAAGUCCAUUUCUCUUCUAGAUCUAAGCUUCGUUUCGAGAAGUGAUAAAAGCGAAAGUUGUUCACCUCUACGCUACGGUGCUAGUGAACCAACUUUGGAAGCGACGACGCGAGCGGGAAUUUUACUGGAAUUAAUUACGGUACCAUAAUCGCUCGUUAAAACUAUCGUUAAGGCCAAGGCUCCUUCCAAACUUUUAGUUUGCAUUUAGGAACUUAUUUGUGGUUGUGGAAAAUAAAUUUGUUGGGUUUGAAGUGUAGAUUUGGGGAAAAUGAAUUUAAUGCUUUUAUGGGUGAAAGUUUGGAGUUGAGUUUUUGGUGAAAUUGAUGAGUGUUUUCGUGGAAAAGGAAUUUGAUUCAUCUAUGUGUGUUGUUGAGGAAAAUAAAUUUGAUGCGUUUGAGUUGUGGUUUGUGAAAAUUAGUUUGACAUGUGUUAUGUUUGAGUUUUGU